GACGAACGCUGGCGGCGUGCUUAACACAUGCAAGUCGAACGGAAAGGCCCUGCUUUUGUGGGAUGCUCGAGUGGCGAACGGGUGAGUGACACGUGAGUAACCUGCCCUUGACUUUGGGAGAACUUCAGGAAAAUGGGGCGAAUACCGGAUAUGAGCUCCUGCUGCAUGGUGGGGGUGGGAAAGUGUGGGCGGUUGGGGAUGGACUCGCGGCUUAUCAGCUUGUUGGUGGGGUAGUGGCUUACCAAGGCUUUGACGGGUAGCCGGCCUGAGAGGGUGACCGGCCACAUUGGGACUGGGAUGCGGCCCAGACUCCUACUGGAGCAAGCAGUGGGGAAUAUUGCACAAUGGGCGGAAGCCUGAUGCAGCAACUCCGCGUGCGGGAUGACGGCCUUCGGGUUGUAAACCGCUUGCGCCUGUGACGAAGCGUGAGUGACGGUAAUGGGUAAAGAAGCACCGGCUAACUACGUG
rnacentral:rRNA from 1 species